CCUACGGGAGGCUGCAGUGGGGAAUAUUGCACAAUGGUGGAAACCCUGAUGCAACGACGCAGCGUGCAUGAUGAAGUCUUUCGGUGUUUAAAGCUCUUUCAGCGGGGAAGAAAAUUACGUUACCUGACUAAUAUGCCCCGUCUAACUACGUGCCAGCAGCCGCGGUAAUACGUAGGGGGCAAGCGUUAUCCGGAUUUACUGGGUGUAAAGGGAGCGUAGUCGGCAAGACAGGUCUGAAGUGAAAUGCCGUGGCUCAACCAUGGGACUGCGUUUCAAACUGGCUGGCUGGAGUGCGGGGGAGGUAUGCGGAAUUCGUAGUGUAGCGGUGAAAUGCGUAGAUAUUAGGAGGAACACCAGUGGCGAAGGCGGCUUACUGGAGUGUAACUGACGUUGAGGCUCGAAAGCGCGGGGAGCAAACAGGAUUAGAUACCCGUGUAGUC
rnacentral:rRNA from 1 species